rnacentral:rRNA from 1 species
GGAGGAUCAUUAUCGUAGGGCUUCGGCCCUGUCGAGAUAGAACCCUUGCCUUUUUGAGUACCUUUCGUUUCCUCGGCAGGCUCGCCUGCCAAUGGGGACCACAAAAAACACUUUGCAGUACCUGUAACAGUCUGAACAAACAAACAAAAAAUUAAAACUUUCAACAACGGAUCUCUUGGUUCUGGCAUCGAUGAAGAACGCAGCGAAAUGCGAUAAGUAGUGUGAAUUGCAGAAUUCAGUGAAUCAUCGAAUCUUUGAACGCACAUUGCGCCCUUUGGUAUUCCUUAGGGCAUGCCUGUUCGAGCGUCAUUUAAACCUUCAAGCUAAGCUUGGUGUUGGGUGACUGUCCGCUUCACGGCGGACUCGCCUCAAAAUUAUUGGCGGCCGGUACAUUGGCUUCGAGCGCAGCAGAAACGCGAACUCGGGCCCGUCGUAUUGGCUCCCAGAAGCUAUCUUCACAAUUUUGACCUCGGAUCAGGUAGGGAUACCCGCUGAACUUAAGCAUAUCAAUAAGCGGAGGA